AAAAAAAUUGUAGGAACCACCACUUAGAUAAUACAAUUUCUGAAAGAAAUACAAGUUCAUGGUAGAUCACCUUAAGUGCACCCAAUGCAAAAUUUCGCACCAGAUUAAGAGACAUAUACAUCAGAGGAUGAGAGAGAGGGAGAGAGAGAACCAACAACUAGCCAAACAAACCCAAACUAGCUAAUAUCAUAAGCUAACUAAGUUUUCGUGUAUUCACUCCGUGACCCAAAACACAACAGCAAACAGAACCAAAAAACAGCCAACCAAACCAUAAGAAAAAAAUUACAGAAACCCAGAAAAAAAUUAACCCAAAACCCAUCUAAUUGAAAGACCAUAAAACUCAUUUUUUGAAUCCACCACCAGCGGGCCUUUUUUGUUUCCCCUGAGCUUCUCCAAACCGCAAUUUCCCACCUUGACUAAAACCCUAACCCCGCCCCAACACCCCGCCGUGGAACUCAUCCCCAACCCAGCAGAGAAAAAGAGAUUGGGGCUUUGAACCUGGAGUGCACUCCUUGGGUGCAUGCGACGAUGGUCGCCGGAAUCACCGUGCGGCUUGCGACAAAAGGAGAUCGAAUGGUGAUAGAAUGACGGAAGUAGAUCACCGUGCGGUUUAGCCUUUACCAAAUUGAAAAAGUUGAGAGAUAAGGAGAGAGAGAGAGAGAGAGAGAGAGAGAGAGUGUGUGUGUGUCCAAUGGAGUGAGGGCAACUAUCUGUGUAUCGUGUGCGAGUUGUGUGAGUUUUAUGGCCUGUGUUUAGCCUGAGUGGUGUAGCACGUGUGAGUGGUGUGAGUUUUGUAGCCUGUGUUUUUAGCCUGAGUGGUGUAGCCUGUCACACA
rnacentral:lncRNA from 1 species